UGCAAGUUCAUGAUGCCAAAACAGCAUUUAUGGUUAAGCUCUCUGUUCCUGUUUGUGUUUAUAUGUUGGCAGAAGUGUAUACUCAUUUCUGAAUGCCAUUUGUAUCAUGUAAGGGUUGGAGAAAUUCUGCAGUAUUUUUACAUAUAUGCACAGAAGGCCCCUUUCACAUAUAUAGCAAAUGUAAUAUAGCAAGGGCUGGUAAAUGAGGGGCUGUUGAGCAGCUGAUGUAACAGUUGGAUUGGGGGAGGUGUUAUUUUAAGCCUACUGUUUAAAGGAAAAGGGAAAGACUAAGGGAUGUGAAUAGAGCUGAGAGAGGCAGUCCACCUGUUUCUGUCCCCCCUCCACUCAGUCCUGAGGGUCUAAGCUGCAGCACAAGGAGCCAGAAUAUCUGGUCUUAGCCCCUGCAAAUCCACACAUACCUUAAGCAGCUUCCCUUCAGGACCUCAGCUCCUAUACUGAUGUGCCAAACUGUGUGGCUUGCUCCACUGGAUGAACAGGCACGUGAUUUGGUGAACUAAGAGAAAAGGUGUGUGACAUGUUUGCAUUAAGGGUAAAAAAGGCUCUUGAAAGUGCUUAAUGGAACCUAUGAGUGAACAACUACACAAUCAAUACACUAUUAUAAAUGCAAUACUGCUCCAGCUCCCAAAUCACAGACUUUCCUGUUUUAGAUUGUAAGCAAGGUUCAUGAGGUGCUUCCUAUGUAUAGCUGGCUUAUGAUGUGCGCGGACUCCAUACAGUGGACAGGAGUUUCUUAAGGCCAAAAUUAGAACUGACUUAUAAGUCCUCUCCUCCCUUCUUGUAUUCUUUCUCACAUUAUGUGUCUUUUCAUGUUUGGUUCCAUUAAGGGUCUAUAUUGGUGCUGAGUGGGAUGCCAUUAAAGGUCUCGCUAGAUCACCUUUAAUUUUCUAAAUCAAAACUGUCCUUUGAUAAAUGGAUGUUAGUUGAAACUCUUCCUGGUGUCUGUUUUCUUUUAUGGGUUGCAAGUAGUUUCCCUGAUGAGGGCCGGUGUGGCUACAGACUUCCAAUUUGCAAUCAAGCAGGAGCACAUCUCAUAAAAUAUGACUGAAAGUUGGACUUUUGACAUGGCUAACUGGCUAGUUUCUUAGUAUUUUAAUUUUAAACCCCAGGGAAAGCAGGUAAUAGUGUGCAACCACUUCCUGAACAGCACGACACAUUCACAUGCAUAAGGACAUCCUAAUUAAACUCUACUGAAAUGUUAAACUCCCAAUAUUCAAUUUAUAUCUGUUGCUUAGUCUAGGUUGUGAAGACGAACACUAGCGGAGCAGCAAGGCUACUAAGGAGUGGUGCUUAACAUCUAUGACCUUCAGUGCCUUUGUUACAGUCUCCAAUUUAAUGGAAGUAUGUGCAGCUUGAAGAUUCUUCACUGUUUCAUGACACUGAGGCCUCUCUUCCGCUUCUGUAAUUUAAACCAGAGUUUGCAUGAGUCACUGGUUUCUAUAGAGACUGAGCUGGAAUGUUCCCCUCAAUCACGGGUUUCCUCAUCCAGACCUGGUCACAUGACACAUCAUACCAUGGAUCACUCUGGAAAAUUCAGCUGUCUAUGGCAUGUGCCCUCUCUCCUUAGAGAAAAAGAAAUGAGACUGUGUGUACAUUCCCAAUCCUAUAAAAUAAACCGUUUUUGAAGACUGG